rnacentral:rRNA from 1 species
AUUGAACGCUGGCGGCAUGCCUAACACAUGCAAGUCGAACGAGUGGCGGACGGGUGGGUAAUGUCUGGGAAACUGCCCGAUGUAGGGGGAUAACUACUGGAAACGGUAGCUAAUACCGCAUACCAUCGGAUGUGCCCAGAUGGGAUGAGCUAGUAGGUGGGGUAACGGCUCACCUAGGCGACGAUCCCUAGCUGGUCUGAGAGGAUGACCAGCCACACUGGAACUGAGACACGGUCCAGACUCCUACGGGAGGCAGCAGUGGGGAAUAUUGGACAAUGGGCGCAAGUCUGAUGCAGCCAUGCCGCGUGUAUGAAGAAGGCCUUCGGUUCGUAAAGUACUUUCAGCGAGGAGGCGUUACUCGCAGAAGAAGCACCGGCUAACUACGUGCCAGCAGCCGCGGUAAUUC